AGUCGAAACCCCCCCGGUUAGGGAAACGCCGGGGGGGUCUGGCAGGACUGCCCGCCUGCCACUGAUGAGACAGGGCACA
rnacentral:hammerhead_ribozyme from 1 species